rnacentral:rRNA from 1 species
UUUGAACGCUGGCGGCAUGGCUAAAACAUGCAAGUCGAACGAGAAAGAGGAGCAAUCCUCGAGUAAAGUGGCGAAAGGGUGAGUAAUACGUUCCUACGUGCCUUGAGGUCAGGGAUAGCCAAGGGAAACCUUGGGUAAUACCUGAUGUGGUCGAGAGAUCAAAGGCUUGCCGCCUCUUGAGCGGGGAACGUCCUAUCAGCUAGUUGGUGAGGUAACGGCUCACCAAGGCAAUGACGGGUAGCGGGUGUGAGAGCAUGGCCCGCCACAUCGGAACUGAGACACUGUCCGGACUCCUACGGGAGGCUGCAGUAACGAAUCUUCCACAAUGCGCGAAAGCGUGAUGGAGCAAUGCCGCGUGCAGGAUGAAGCCCUUCGGGGUGUAAACUGCUGUCAGGGGUUAGCAACACAAUGAGCAGCCCCAAAGGAAGAGACGACUAACUCUGUGCCAGCAGUCGCGGUAAUACAGAGGUCUCGAGCGUUAGACGGAUUCAUUGGGCUUAGAGCGUACGUAGGCGGGCGUGCAGGCGCUGUGUGAAAGCCCUCGGCUCAACCGAGGAAUUGCACGGCGAACCGCACGUCUUGAGACAAGUAGGGGCGGCCGGAACGAUAGGUGGAGUGGUGAAAUGCGUUGAUAUCUAUCGGAACGCCAAUGGUGAAGACAGGCCGCUGGGCUUGUUCUGACGCUGAGGUACGAAAGCGUGGGUAGCGAACGGGAUUAGAUACCCCGGUAGUCCACGCCGUAAACAAUGUGCACUAGAUCGAGGAGGUUCUGAUACCCUCUCGGCCGAAGUAAAAACGUUGAGUGCACC